rnacentral:rRNA from 1 species
UGGCUCAGAUUGAACGCUGGCGGCAGGCCUAACACAUGCAAGUCGAGCGGAAACGAGUUAUCUGAACCUUCGGGGAACGAUAACGGCGUCGAGCGGCGGACGGGUGAGUAAUGCCUAGGAAAUUGCCCUGAUGUGGGGGAUAACCAUUGGAAACGAUGGCUAAUACCGCAUGAUGCCUACGGGCCAAAGAGGGGGACCUUCGG